rnacentral:rRNA from 1 species
GUGCAGCAGGCGCGAAACCUCCGCAAUACGGGAAACCGUGACGGGGUCAUCCUGAGUGCUACCCGCAGAGGGUAGCUUUUCCCUGGUCUAAAAGCCAGGGGAAUAAGCGGGGGCAAGACUGGUGUCAGCCGCCGCGGUAAUACCAGCCCCGCGAGUGAUCGGGACGAUUAUUGGGCCUAAAGCAUCCGUAGCCGGCCCAACAAGUCUUCUCUGAAAUCCUACGGCCA